ACCGAAACAGCUCAGUUGAGAGAGCGUUAGACUGUAUAUUGAAAAGUCCUUAGUUCGAUCCCGGGUUCCGGCA
rnacentral:tRNA from 1 species